rnacentral:lncRNA from 1 species
AUAAUAAUGGCUAAAAUAUUAAAAAAAAAUUGUAAAUAUCCACUGACUUUUAAAAUUUUAUAUUUUAUUCACUUAAAAUUUUAAAAAUAUUUUUUAAAAAUUAUGCCGUUAAUUGAAAGAACCAAAUAAUCAGAUUAUCCUUAUACUUGCUUUAGAAAUAUAAAUAUAUAUAUAGAGAGAAAGAGUUGGGCUAGAAUACUAUUAAUAGUCUUUUUUGCAAUCAAGUUUUUAACCUACGAAUUAAUUUUUUUCAUCAUUUCUAACCAUUGGAUUAAAUAUUAUAACCCAGUGAGAACUAUUCAAUCUUGGAAGAUCACUCAAUUUUAAGGAACUAAUAUCAUCCUAAUUUUACAGUUUUUCAUCAAAGGGUUAAAAACUUGAUAGCAAAAAAAAUAUUUUGCUAUCAAUAGUAUU